rnacentral:rRNA from 1 species
UACACGCUCAUAUGACUAUCACAGCUACUGGGUGAGGCUGUGUGAUUUUAGGUCGAGGGACUACUGCUUCAGUGUCUUAGACACUUUUUCUACGACUUACUUGGCCUCGUGGAGACACGAGUUUGGCCAGACGGAGGAAUGACGUGGUGGUUGUUUGGUGGUCGCCAUUAUAAAAUUAACGAGAUAACAACUUGGCCAAUGAUAAAAUAUACGAGUUGUAAAUUAAUGACGACUAGGUCCCACUAUUAGGUAAAACCUCGUUCUUUGAAGGAGUUCUGUUUUGCCUUUUCCGUCCUGCCGGUUGGGCCGAGUUCUGGUUCCAAUAGUUCUUCGGUCGAGUAUUCUCUUUUUGGUGGCGAAGUAGACUGGGUCGGUAACUACUACUACUACUGCGACUUCGGUCGUUACGCCCAAAACAACUCCAUUGGUAAGAGAGAAGGCUAAGUCUUUAGGACGGAAAUGGUUUUAAAGCGGCCCGUUUGGCCUUUCAAUUUAAAAGAGUAGGAAAACGAAUAGACCUAAGGGUUAAAGAAUACUUCUGGGUUGUUGUACUUCGAGCGGCGUGUUGGGCCGUGUCACCGGUCCAGUGAAGAGUAAGUAGCAGACCACUUAGUAGCCGGUGGGUCGAUGGUGGAAACUUUUGUCAACGACCCAUUGAAUUUGGCUUGUAUACGAAGGUCAUAUGACGCGUUACCGAAUGUGAAAAGGAACUGAAAAAUAAAAAGAAAGUCCCGAUUUGGCUUUGGUUCGUUCUUCCGGGCGGACCUAUCUCGCCGACUUCUUCUACACCGGGGUCUUGUACUGGUUCGUGGACUAGUACUUCACAAAUGAACACUUCUAUAGGGGUUACUAGGAGGAGACGUUCUGCUGCAAUAGGGACUUCUUCCAGGAUAAGUAUAAGGUCGGAGACGACUAGGCGGACGAUCGAGACAGGUCUAACUCUUUAGGGUGUGAGGACGACUGUUUGGCCGGCGUGGUUGGGUUUGGCCGCUCAGUUUUCUACUACUACAACACUAAUGGCCGCAUCCGACGAGACUUGGACCCUUAGGACGGUGGGAAUGGUCCGUAUGGUAGUUUCUCCUAAGAAGGGGAAACUUGUUUCCUUUUACUCUACAACUUAAUCUCUGUAUGCGGUUAGACUUACGAGUUCUAGAAGUGAGACCGAUAAAUUUGGCCGAAAUAUGAUCGGCACUGACACUUCGACCGAACCAGUUUUACUACUCCCUAUUUAAACUCCGACUUCACUUUUAGUUCCUCCUGGUCUAACGGCUAAACGUCCUCCGGGAUUUCUGGGUCAUCCGACUUUAUCUAUUCCGUUUCGUUCUUAACUGGUCGCGAAACUCGUGACGACUUGCCGACUUUCUUCCGAAGUUCUUUCUCGCCCGACUGACCCGGUGACUCUUCCGGCCAAAUUGGUUUUCUCGUCUUUUGCGACUUCGUCGGGAAUUUGGCCACCACCUACUUGACCGCCGGCAUGUUGCCGUUUAUGUGAGAUACUGAUGACGUUAGAAACCGUGUGCAUAACCCGUGAAUCCUUUACUACACGCCUUCUUUAACUUUCGACGGAUGUGGAACCACCUUGUUAACAUAUGGCCUCGGGUUGCCUAGUAGCGGUGUCGAAGAAUGUUGUUGGGCCGCGGGAGAAAUUAGGUCCUGUGAGAAUCGUUCGACAGUUACGAAGGUCGGGCCUAACUCCUCGACUUUUUUUAGGCGACGGGCUUGGCCUCGGUAGUUACGGAAUUAGGUCCGUUUCCGUACCCACGGGCUGAAACUAGGACACCUUCGUCGAGUUCCGAUAGGGUCAGACUUUCUUCUACCGAGACUUAAGUUGCUUCUCCUAAAUUCCCGGUUUUUGGCACGUCACGCGGGCGACCGAACGGUCGAUCGACUUCUCCGUCUAAACUACGUGAUAGUUCGCCUUAUAUUAUUAGUUUUGUUCGCUCACGGCCGGGGUUGACAACUUCGCCUCUUAGACUAAGGAGGUUGGGCAUUCGUGUGAAUGCGGGGACUAUAACUUGGCAGAAGGGACUAGGUAUUUCUCCGACAAAAGGUUCUAAAUUACCCUUAGCUGACCUGGUGACAACUAAAGAUCGGUUACCCAUCUCUGCUCCUUUGACUUCGCCGCCUCCUACUCCUCGUCCGAACUUGGCCUUCGGCUAAAUUUCUCGAUCAACGUUGUAGGAAGGUGUUUUGUUACUAAAACAAACUCGUGGUACGGCGGAACAUUAUCCUAUCAAUUUUGAAGACAGACCUUAUACGGAAGCACGUAUUCAUGACCUCGAAAACGAACUUUUUGAAAUUAAGUAUAAAGG